GCCUACCAAGGCGACGACGGGUAGCCGGCCUGAGAGGGCGACCGGCCACACUGGGACUGAGACACGGCCCAGACUCCUACGGGAGGCAGCAGUGGGGAAUCUUGCGCAAUGGGCGGAAGCCUGACGCAGCGACGCCGCGUGGGGGAUGAAGGCCUUCGGGUUGUAAACCCCUUUCAGCAGGGACGAAGCGAGAGUGACGGUACCUGCAGAAGAAGCGCCGGCUAACUACGUGCCAGCAGCCGCGGUAACACGUAGGGCGCAAGCGUUGUCCGGAAUUAUUGGGCGUAAAGAGCUCGUAGGCGGACUGUUGCGUCUGCUGUGAAAAGCUGGGGCUUAACCCUGGCCUUGCAGUGGAUACGGGCAGACUAGAGGUAGGUAGGGGAGAAUGGAAUUCCCGGUGUAGCGGUGAAAUGCGCAGAUAUCGGGAGGAACACCGGUGGCGAGAGGCGGUUCUCUGGGCCUUACCUGACGCUGAGGAGCGAAAGCGUGGGGAGCGACACGAGAAUUAGAUACCCUGGUAGUCCACGCUGUAAACGUUGGGCGCUAGGUGUGGGGUCCUUCCACGGAUUCCGUGCCGCA
rnacentral:rRNA from 1 species